GUGGGGAAUCUUGCGCAAUGGGCGAAAGCCUGACGCAGCCAUGCCGCGUGAAUGAUGAAGGUCUUAGGAUUGUAAAAUUCUUUCACCGGGGACGAUAAUGACGGUACCCGGAGAAGAAGCCCCGGCUAACUUCGUGCCAGCAGCCGCGGUAAUACGAAGGGGGCUAGCGUUGCUCGGAAUUACUGGGCGUAAAGGGCGCGUAGGCGGACAGUUUAGUCAGAGGUGAAAGCUCAGGGCUCAACCUUGGAAUUGCCUUUGAUACUGGCUGUCUUGAGUACGGGAGAGGUGAGUGGAACUCCGAGUGUAGAGGUAAAAUUCGUAGAUAUUCGGAAGAACACCAGUGGCGAAGGCGACUCACUGGCCCGUUACUGACGCUGAGGCGCGAAAGCGUGGGGAGCAAACAGGAUUAGAUACCCCUGUAGUCC
rnacentral:rRNA from 1 species